AGUACUUAUGCCCGUUUUCACCAACAACCUCUUACCGUUUCCCUAUCUAAAUGCUACUUUUAGUAAGGAUCCCUCCCAAUUUGACACCUACCUAAAUUCAUUUUCACCACACUUGUACAUGGAUCCCUUAAGUAAGUGACAGAUUACUAGUUCUACAAACGAUAAUGCAAAGUCGAUAUUUUAUCGAUAAAAUGAUUUUUCUGUACUUCUUAAGAAAUAAACGUCUAUCGAGUAUAUAUUACUAAAGCCUGUUAGUUUUUUUUCUUGCGAUGUUAUUUUAAUUUAACUUAAACUACAUUACGCUAUGUUUUAUGCAAUAAAACAGUAAAGAGGUUUUCUGUAGGUGAAUUUUUACCUACGUCAUUCGCGCGUUUGUCAAAUUGACUGAUGUGUAUGUGUACAUAGAGUGAGGUUAAUUUUGGGUUUAUUAUUGUUGAAUAGAUAAGUUUAUUUUGGCAGAGAAGAGAAAACGAGGAUAAACCUUUCUUGCAGAAGAAAAAGACAAGCUAGUGAAAUUGCUGACGUCUCAUAGAGACACAAUAUUAAACAAAAAACGGAUGGGACCACGAACGAAGCCAAAAACAAAGCUUGGAUCCAGUCACAAAUAGUUUUAAUGCGACAGGAACCCUUUAGAGUUUCAGGUGGUGCGAGAAAUUGGAAAGACGUGUAAAAACAUGCUGCGCCCAGCCCACCUCAAAUUGAAUUGGUGCAGGAGGAUGAUGAUAAUGUUUGGUACAUCAUAUGAGGACUAAUAUUAAAAUAUUUGUUUAC
rnacentral:lncRNA from 1 species